AGAGUUUGAUCCUGGCUCAGGACGAACGCUGGCGGUGUGCUUAAGACAUGCAAGUCGAGCGGUCCCGCAAGGGACAGCGGCGGACGGGUGAGUAACACGUGGAUAACCUACCCGACUCCCCGGGAUAACCGGCCGAAAGGCCAGCUAAUACCGGGUAAGCUCACAUCACCGCAUGGUGGUGGGAGAAAAGGUCCUGCAAG
rnacentral:rRNA from 1 species